CAAAAAUGGCUGUAGAUUUGUUAAAUUAUUCGAAUUUGAAUGAACAAUUAGCUUUACAAGAAGCUGCUACAGCCGGUUUAAAAUCUAUGGAUAAUUUAAUCCGGUUCGUUUCAUUUCAACAACAGCAAAAUCAAACGGUUCAGCCGGAUUGUAGAGAGAUAACUGAUUAUACUGUUUCGAAUUUUAGAAAGGUUAUUACUAUUUUGAACCGGACCGGUCAUGCCCGGUUUAGACGUAGUCCGGUUCAGGUUACUGAUGAUUCGUCUACGGCUUUAACUCUAUCGCCGUUGACAAAUCCGGCGGAGGAAACUGUACCGGCGGUGAAAGUACCGGUUGAGAAGUAUCAACCGAAGGCGUUGACUUUAGAUUUUACGAAACGGAAAGUUGGUAAAUCUAUUGGAUGUGAAGCUGUUCCGGUAGCGAGUUCGACGACGUCGUCGUCGUUUAUGUCGACGAUUACAGGUGAAGGAAGUGUUUCGAAUGGUAAAGUGUUUUCGUCGAUGAAUUUACCUCCUCGUCCGCCUGUUUCCUCCGCGAAGCCGCCAAUCGCCGGGAAAAGAUGUCGUGAUCAUGAGCUGUCUGAUGAAUUUUCCGGUAGAACUUCUAGCUCCGGGAAGUGUCAGUGCAAAAAGAGGAAAUCUCGAGUAAAAAAAGUGAUCAGAGUUCCGGCGAUCAGUUCAAAAACUGCUGAUAUUCCGGCAGAUGAAUACUCAUGGAGAAAGUACGGUCAAAAGCCGAUCAAAGGUUCACCAUACCCAAGGUAGUUACACAUACACCAUUAUCAAUCAUCACGGUUCAGUUUUUUGUACGAAUGAAAUUUCCAGAUCUGAAACUUCACUUCAAUUUUCAGGGGAUAUUACCGAUGUAGUAGUGUUAGAGGCUGUCCGGCGAGAAAGCACGUAGAAAGAGCCACCGAUGAUCCUGGAAUGCUUGUUGUGACUUACGGCGGAGAGCAUCGUCAUGUUCAAACCACGAUCUCCGGCAACGUCACCGGCGCUGGAGCUGGAAGUUCCGGCGAGAGAAUGAUGGCUUUUGAGUUAACAGGACAGAAAAAUGGAGAAAGAUUAGGGUUAGAGAUUUAGGGACUGUUUUUGUAAUUUCGAAAUAGUGGAGGGGUGGAAAUUGACAUAUGAGAAAGCUUAAAAGCGUAGAAAAGUCAAUAGUUUGGUGGCAGUUGAGGGGUGUGUAUGUAAAUUUGGGAAAUUUUGACUACUUUUUAUUUAAUACGAAAAUCGAGAAGGUUUAGAAAUUUUCAAGUUUGACUAUACUUUUACUUUUUUAUUUGAAAAAAUAGAAAAAUAUUUCUUAUCUUUA
rnacentral:misc_RNA from 1 species